GCAGCAGGAUGUCGGGUCCAGCUGGUUCCCAACAAACAACGGGAAGCUCUGAAAAAGGAAAAGUUUCCAUAAUCAUGAACCUCAAGGAUUCUUUAGCAGUUUACUAUCCUCGUGCUGCCUCCUGCUGGAAGACGUCAGGAGUUACAAGACUGAGAGGAAACUACACAUUUAUCCCACUUUCUGUACAUCAGAUGUAUUAAUGUGUGUGUGUGUGUGUGUGUGUGUGUGUGUGUGUGUGUGUGUGUGUGUGUGUGUUUGUUUAUUUGUUAUCUUUUUUUUAUACACAAAAACCACAGAAACCUCCUGAAGAAGAUCGUUGUAUUAAAAUCAGCAGUCACGUCUCUGAAUGUGAAUAAUUUACUAUCAUUGUCUGAAUUUCCCAACAAAGCUUCAAAGCAAUCAAGAAACAUAUUUAUAAACUAUGAAAAUGAUAACUUUCAAUUUGUUCUUAAAUAUAACCACAAUCCUUUUGUCCUUGAUCAUGACAUCACAUCUGUCGUAGUGCUGUCCCCUACUGGAACAGGUUAGUAAUUACAAUGCUCAGAGGAAACUACACAGAUGUUUUAGUGUGUUUUGUUCUGGACUGAACUCACGCAACAUUAAUGAAUUAUAGUUUUAGAAUCUCCCGAUUCUAUCUUUGCAAAGUGUUUCAUAAUUAUAAUAUCCCUGCAACAAUUAGUUCAGAAAGUAAGAGAAGU